AUGAGGCUGCUGGGUCUUCUCCUGUGCCUGCUGACAGCCCCCCGAGGUGUCCUGUCCCAGGUGCAGCUGCAGGAGUCGGGCCCAGGACUGGUGAAGCCCUCACAGACCCUUUCUCUCACCUGCACCAUCUCUGGAUUGUCUCCAAGGAGCUAUGGUGUAUUUUGGAUCCGCCAGGCUCCUGGAAAGGGGCUAGAGUGGGUUGGGGUUCUGUGGAGUAGUGGAAAUACAGCCUAUAACGCUGCACUGAAAUCCCGCCUCAGCAUCACCAGCGACACGUCCAAGAGCCAAGUUUACUUAACACUGAACAGCCUGAGAGCUGAGGACACGGCCGUGUAUUACUGUCAGACCCCAGAGGAGGGGGUAGCACUGCUGCUGGCAGAGGACAUGUGCCAGGACUUGCUGUUUCUGGUGCCACAGGAAAUGACCUCAGCUCUGUCCCCAUAG